CACGUAUGCAACCUACCUUCCACUGGGGUAUAGCCCAGAGAAAUUUGGAUUAAUCCCCCAUAGAACCAAGAGUCGCAUGGCUCAAUAGGUUAAAGGAAUUCCGGUGGAAGAUGGGCGAUGCGUCCCAUUAGCUAGUAGGUGAGGUAAUAGCUCACCUAGGCAACGAUGGGUAGGGGGUCGUGAGAGGAUGAUCCCCACACUGGUACUGAGACACGGACCAGACUCCUACGGGAGGCAGCAGUGAGGAAUAUUGCGCAAUGGACGAAAGUCUGACGCAGCCAUGCCGCGUGAAGGAUGACG
rnacentral:rRNA from 1 species